rnacentral:rRNA from 1 species
AGCCUUUGUCGAUCGGCGCACUUCUUUCUAGACAGCGCUACAACCGGUUUAGUGGCGGUCAAAAGCUACUUGGGAAGGUGACUCUGACUUCGGUUGGAGAGUUAUAGUCCAGGCUAGCGUCGUCUGCCGCGAGACCGAGGAAUGGCCGUACCCGCCUUUAGGCACGGGCCCCUGCUCCUCUGGUGCCGUUCGACUGGGCUGGACUGUUUACAGUGCUGUCCGACUGCGGUGUUUGUUGCGAGUAGGUGUGCUUCCGAGUGGUACUCAAGGUUAGUGGCGAGUUGGUCGGCAAUCCAUUKGACCCGUCUUGAAACACGGACCAAGGAGUCUAACAUGUAUGCGAGUUUYAGGGCUAUACUAAACCCGAAGGCGUAAUGAAAGUAAAGGUCGGUCUUGCAUCGGCUUAGGCGAGAUCUAGCGUCUCCGAGGCGUUAGCGCAUCGCCGGCCCGUCUUAGUUUCGACGCAAACGAGGCGGAGCACGAGCAUACACGUUGGGACCCGAAAGAUGGUGAACUAUGCUUGAGUAGGACGAAGCCAGAGGAAACUCUGGUGGAGGUCCGUAGCGAUUCUGACGUGCAAAUCGAUCGUCAAACUUGAGUAUAGGGGCGAAAGACUAAUCGAACC